rnacentral:lncRNA from 1 species
CCCGGAGGUACCUACAUACAAAAGAUAUAAAUGACCUAAAUGUUGAUGGACAAAGAAGGAUUUGAGGAAAGGUGGGAGUCUGAAGAGCAAGAAAGAACUGCCAUGCCCGGAUAAUAACCAGAGGAGACAUCGACCAACAUUGACUCCAUCUGAGCUGGGAUGCUGACACAGUGCCCAUGCUUUCUAGCCUACCACCAGUACUGCCAACCCCAGGAGGUGUGUGGACCUUCAUCAUCCUACCUUUGAACUUCCCCUUCAGGGACAGUCUCCUGACACGACCUGCAUAGAUCCAGCGAUGCCCAGCUGUGGGGCCUAUAAAUACCAGGUGACAUUUAUUUAUUUAUUUAUUUAUUUUUCCAGGUGACAUUUAAAAGGCUGAUUUUUAUUA